rnacentral:rRNA from 1 species
AUUGAACGCUGGCGGCAGGCCUAACACAUGCAAGUCGAGCGCGAAAGUUCUUCGGGAUGAGUAAAGCGGCGGACGGGUGAGUAACGCGUAGGAAUCUGCCCUUAAGAGGGGGAUAACUUGGGGAAACUCAAGGUAAUACCGCAUAAGCCUUAGGGUGAAAGGUGGGGAUCUUCGGACCUACCGCUUGAGGAGGAGCCUGCGUCGGAUUAGCUAGUUGGUGGGGUAAAGGCCUACCAAGGCGACGAUCCGUAGCUGGUCUGAGAGGAUGACCAGCCACACUGGGACUGAGACACGGCCCAGACUCCUACGGGAGGCAGCAGUGGGGAAUAUUGGACAAUGGGCGCAAGCCUGAUCCAGCCAUGCCGCGUGUGUGAAGAAGGCUCUAGGGUUGUAAAGCACUUUAAGUUGUGAGGAAGGGUGUAUUGUGAAUAAUGAUGCAUUUUGACGUGAGCAACAGAAUAAGCACCGGCUAACUCCGUGCCAGCAGCCGCAGUAA